AACGAACGCUGGCGGCGUGCUUAACACAUGCAAGUCGAACGAAGUGGCGAACGGGUCAGUAACGCGUAAUCAACCUGCCCAUCAGAAGGGGACAACAGUUGGAAACGUCUGCUAAUACCGCAUACUGAAGGAGGGGCAUGCGUGUGAUGGGCUAGUUGGGUGGGUAACGGCCCACCAAGGCGAUGAUCAGUAACCGGGCGGAUAGGGUGAACGGCCACAUUGGGACUGAGACACGGCCCAGACUCCUACGGGAGGCAGCAGUGGGGAAUGUUCCGCAAUGGAUGAAAGUCUGACGGAGCAACGCCGCGUGAGUGAUGACGGCCUUCGGGUUGUAAAGCUCUGUUAAUCGGGACGCGGUACCGGAAUAGAAAGCCACGGCUAACUACGUGCCAGUAGCCGCGGUAAUUC
rnacentral:rRNA from 1 species